CAGUAGCCGCGGUAAUACGUAGGUGGCAAGCGUUGUCCGGAAUUAUUGGGCGUAAAGGGCUCGCAGGCGGUUUCUUAAGUCUGAUGUGAAAGCCCCCGGCUCAACCGGGGAGGGUCACUGGAAACUGGGAAACUUGAGUGCAGAAGAGGAGAGUGGAGUUCCACGUGUAGCGGUGAAAUGCGUAGAGAUGUGGAGGAACACCAGUGGCGAAGGCGACUCUCUGGUCUGUAACUGACGCUGAGGAGCGAAAGCGUGGGGAGCGAACAGGAUUAGAUACCCCUGUAGUCCCUGUCUCUUAUAU
rnacentral:rRNA from 1 species